rnacentral:rRNA from 1 species
CGUACACCCCUACGGGAGGCAGCAGUGGGGAAUAUUGCACAAUGGGCGCAAGCCUGAUGCAGCCAUGCCGCGUGUAUGAAGAAGGCCUUCGGGUUGUAAAGUACUUUCAGCGGGGAGGAAGGCGAUAAGGUUAAUAACCUUGUUGAUUGACGUUACCCGCAGAAGAAGCACCGGCUAACUCCGUGCCAGCAGCCGCGGUAAUACGGAGGGUGCAAGCGUUAAUCGGAAUUACUGGGCGUAAAGCGCACGCAGGCGGUCUGUCAAGUCGGAUGUGAAAUCCCCGGGCUCAACCUGGGAACUGCAUUCGAAACUGGCAGUCUAGAGUCUUGUAGAGGGGGGUAGAAUUCCAGGUGUAGCGGUGAAAUGCGUAGAGAUCUGGAGGAAUACCGGUGGCGAAGGCGGCCCCCUGGACAAAGACUGACGCUCAGGUGCGAAAGCGUGGGGAGCAAACAGGAUUAGAUACCCUAGUAGUCCCA